CUAGUUUGGUUCGGUGCGUGUCGGUCCGAAACAGGGCCUUGCUCCCUCGCUGCGGGCUGCGGUCGGAGGGGCUCGUGCGCCGCCGUGGCCGCCCCUCCCGUCGCUGUGGCCGGAGAGCUCGUGCUGCGGCCGGGGCCGCUGCCACCGCCAGGGGCUCGUGCACCUGCAUCUCCGGCGCCGCAUCCCAGCCAUCCUCUCCAGGUCAGCCAGUAUACUAGUAUCUGCUCGUCGACAUCGAGGUCGUGCCGGGGAUCAAAAGGUUCGUCUGCGGAGGAGCCAAGCUCGUCGACCACCGCGGUCAUCCUCACCACCAGCUACCACAGCAAGGUCCCUCAGUGGCUAAAGUGGUAUACUGGCUGCGAUCGACACCUUCUCUAAGCAUAUCAUAAUUGGGGCCUUCUACUUUGCGGGGUUUGGGUUGUUCUGUUUGGAGCUCUGCUAAGCAUUGCAGUUCUUCAGGUUUAAAAUAAAACCUUAUCCUCAGCAUUCAAAAUUCUCAUUCAUUGCAGUUCUGUUUUCAUUAUUGUUACAUGUUUUGGCCGUCUCUUCUGAAUCAUGUAAUACAGUGCUAAUGCUAAACAUUUGCUAUUGUUUGUGUUAUGGAUGCGGAGAGUGUACAUGUACUUCAGAGGGAACAAGUGAUGCCAGCCAUGAUUGAAAACAACAUUUGUCAAAAAAAAAAUGUUGCUUUGCUGUAGUCUCUUUGCUGCUUUCAUACAGCAGGAGCAAAACCUGAUGCAGAGAAUUCAUUUGGAUAGUUGCUCUGCUAACACUUCAGGGCACCCUAUUCUCCUCCGGUUUACAUCAUUGUUGGUUCCAGAAACUCCAAUGAAAAAAAUGAUAAAUUUGCAUUAUUCUUUUAUAGUUUA